CCUACGGGUGGCUGCAGUCGAGAAUUUUUCUCAAUGGGCGCAAGCCUGAAGGAGCGACGCCGCGUGGGGGAUGAAGGGUUUCGAUCCGUAAACCCCUGUCAUUUGUGAACAAAGGUCAUUCGCUAACACCGGGUGGCUUGAUAGUAAUGAAAGAGGAAGGGACGGCUAACUCUGUGCCAGCAGCCGCGGUAAUACAGAGGUCCCGAGCGUUGUUCGGAUUCACUGGGCGUAAAGGGUGCGCAGGUGGCUUGGCAAGUCGGAUGUGAAAGCUCCGG
rnacentral:rRNA from 1 species